rnacentral:rRNA from 1 species
UGGGGAAUUUUGCACAAUGGAGGAAACUCUGAUGCAGCGACGCCGCGUGAGUGAUGAAGAUCUUCGGAUUGUAAAACUCUGUCCUUAGUGAAGAUAAUGACAGUAACUAAGAAGCAAGCCCUGGCUAAAUACGUUCCAGCAGCCGCGGUAAUACGUAUGGGGCAAGCGUUGUCCGGAAUUAUUGGGCGUAAAGGGUACGUAGGCGGUUUAAUAAGUCCUAAUUAAAAGGCUAUGGCUCAACCAUAGUAUGGUUAGGAAACUGUUGAACUUGAGUAGAUGAGGGGAAAGUGGAAUUCCAUGUGUAGCGGUGAAAUGCGUAGAUAUAUGGAGGAACACCAAUGGCGAAGGCAACUUUCUGGAAUCAAACUGACGCUGAGGUACGAAGGCGUGGGGAGCAAACAGG